UACGGAGGGUGCAAGCGUUAAUCGGAAUUACUGGGCGUAAAGCGUGCGCAGGCGGUUUGUUAAGUCUGUUGUGAAAUCCCCGAGCUCAACUUGGGAAUUGCAAUGGAUACUGGCAGGCUGGAGUAUGGUAGAGGAAGGUGGAAUUCCCGGUGUAGCAGUGAAAUGCGUAGAGAUCGGGAGGAACACCGAUGGCGAAGGCAGCCCCCUGGGCCGAUACUGACGCUCAGGCACGAAAGCGUGGGGAGCAAACAGG
rnacentral:rRNA from 1 species